rnacentral:misc_RNA from 1 species
UACUCUCACACUCUCUGAUUUUGUGAUUAGAGAGCGGUGGACUUGGAUGUUGCCUGGUACUUGCUGUCAGGCUCAUCUUAAAUGACUUAGUACAACUCCUAGUUAAACAUAGUACGGCGUUAUAACUUAACCCCCGCUGUUCUUUUUGUCUGAUUAGGAGCUCUGUUGCUUCGAACGGUCUUCGGACAAUUCUGAUA